GCGGCGUUAGCCUAGUGGUAAGGCCCUGGAAUGUGGAUCCAGUCAGAGCGGUUCAAUUCCGCUACGCCGCC
rnacentral:tRNA from 1 species